UGGGGAAUUUUGGACAACGGACGAAAGUCUGAUCCAGCCAUUCCGCGUGCAGGAUGAAGGCCCUCGGGUUGUAAACUGCUUUUGUACGGAACGAAAAGGUCUCUCCUAAUACGAGAGGCUCAUGACGGUACCGUAAGAAUAAGCACCGGCUAACUACGUGCCAGCAGCCGCGGUAAUACGUAGGGUGCAAGCGUUAAUCGGAAUUACUGGGCGUAAAGCGUGCGCAGGCGGUUAUAUAAGACAGAUGUGAAAUCCCCGGGCUCAACCUGGGAACUGCAUUUGUGACUGUAUAGCUAGAGUACGGUAGAGGGGGAUGGAAUUCCGCGUGUAGCAGUGAAAUGCGUAGAUAUGCGGAGGAACACCGAUGGCGAAGGUGGCUCUCUGGGACGGUACUGACGCUGAGACGCGAAAGCGUGGGGAGCAAACAGG
rnacentral:rRNA from 1 species